UACGUAGGGAGCAAGCGUUGUCCGGAAUCAUUGGGCGUAAAGCGCGCGUAGGUGGCCUCAUAAGUCCGCUGUGAAAGUCAAAGGCUCAACCUUUGAAAGCCGGUGGAUACUGUGAGGCUAGAGUACGGAAGAGGCGAGUGGAAUUCCUGGUGUAGCGGUGGAAUGCGCAGAUAUCAGGAGGAACACCAAUAGCGAAGGCAGCUCGCUGGGACGUUACUGACACUGAGGCGCGAAAGCGUGGGGGAGCGAACAGG
rnacentral:rRNA from 1 species